CCUGGACCGACACUCGAUCCCUAAACAUGACCGAGCGAACCAUCUCUGCUUAUCAAAUCUAUGAUAACUCCAAACUUUAUAUGCAACAAGGUAAUACUCUAACCAAAUACUUUUGAUUAAUUUAAAUAUUUAAAUAAAUCAACUACAAAACUUUAUUCAUAGUAACCAAUAAAAUACUUCUAAGUUAUUAUCAAAAACAUCUGAAUCUUAACCCAACGACUAUGUCUAUGAAGCCUUUACUGAUAAACUGAUGCACUGCUCAAGACAUGAGAUUUCCUGACCAGUUCUCUAAGUAACAAAGAAAUAACUAAAUAAAGAUGACUCUAAGGAAUACUCCAUGAACAAAAGCGGAGCUCACCAAUAGCACUGGAAGAGAAGGAAGUCCUAACUCGUAGCCUGCUCGCCUGCAAAUCCGGUUCCUACAUUGUACCGCAGACCAAACGUAGGUUCCCAAAAGGGAACGUCAGUACCAUCCAUUGUACUCAGUGAGUCUCAACAACAGGGGGCGAAACUUUAAUAACAUAUACAUUAUGCGCAAAGGUUCUAAAUGCAUAUAAAACAUAAAGCUUAUAAGAAUAAUUCUAAAUAAUUGCAUAAUAGCAGUUUAUGAAUAUUCUAAAAGAAAUUCUUUUCUUUUUCUUUCUUAUAAAAAAAAUACUUCUCUUUAUACUUUGGGAGUUCCAACUAUCCUGACUUAAUUCUGUCUCUGUCACCGUGUGAUUGGCCUGGGUUCGAUCCCAACCUGAUCGAAUAUGCCCAAUCCACGAGGUGCCACUCGCUUCAUGGUUUUUAGCGCUCAUGUCUCAUAGCUUAGCAUGGCUAAGUAAAUUCUCAGCAACGAGACCCUCGGCUCGUGUGCUCCCUACUUUGGCACAAGUAGUUUUAGGAAGUCAACGCCUUGGUCAGGACCCUAGGCCUGGACGAUGACCCCUUCUCAGAAUAAAGGAUACUCCCAAAAAUCUUUUCUUUCUAAAACUUCUUCUUGUGACUUUUCAAGUCUAAAUCUAUUAUACAUACUCAUACUGGUAUCCUUAAAUGUAAGGCAUGGUAUAAGAAUGAAAUAAACAUUCAAAAGUAUUUAUAAAGGUUCUUGAUCCUUCAUGAAUUUUCGACAUGAAAAUGGUAUAUAAGAAUAACACAAAAAUCUGAAAUUUAUGCACAUAUAUCCAAAUAAUCAUCUAAACUUUAGCUAGAAAAUAAUUCUAAGCUAAUAGGUACUUACUACUCUAAUUAAGUAUAUAUUAACUCUUUUAUGCAAUUCAUCAAACACCUUAUGUGCGUGCUUUUGUGAGUUAAACCACUUUAGUAAAAGGUUAUAUCAACUCACCUCAAAACUUCUCGAGCCAAUACGUAGACCCCAGUAUAAUUGACACUAGUCAAACAAUCGAUUCUACAACAACUAGUGCAUUUUAAUCAAUUUUAAAAUUUCACACCUAAACAUAAAAUUUAUUGUUGAUAUGGAGAAAGAAGGGAAUUAACUAUUCAUCUCUUACCUAUUACUACUGUGGGGUAAUUGAGAAUAUGAAAUUUUAUAUACCUGAGUAAAAAAAAUCAGUGAGUUAUGAAGAACCCUAGAAUUUUCGUUGCCCUGCGUGAAUAGUUGGUGCCUCUGUUUCUUGAGCAAACACAAUGUUAAUUUUGUUUGCUUUUG
rnacentral:lncRNA from 1 species